rnacentral:lncRNA from 1 species
UAUAGUUCAGUUUACUCAGUAAUCCAAGCAGGGUCAAAUACCGGUAAAUCAGUCCAAAAGGCAAACAAAUCCAGGAAGGGGCAGGCAGAAGAAUCGGAGUCCAGAAACAGGUAGCAGGGUCAAAACGGGCAGGUCAGGAAAACUAAACAGGUCAACUAGACGAUCGCUGGAGAGCUUGGCAGGAAAACACAAGACAAUCUGGCAGGGAACAAGUGGGAGAGACCUGGUAUAUAUCCUCUGAGAGAACUAAUGAGGGAAUGAGAAGCAGGUGAGGAGAUGGGCUGUGGAAACCAGGUGAGGGGAAUAAGUCGAUUGCAGGCAGUGAGGAUGAACCAGGAUCUGAAAUGAUAAGAGAAUUACUGACAAGAUACGCCUUCAGCAAAAACAUGCAGCCAACCAUCAUCGCUAAGAGCAAUCCUAGCCUUAACUUUGGAUGUGCCAGUCAGAUGAGCACCAAUGACAUCGCCCGUGUCAACAAGCUUAACCAAUGUUGAUCUCAACGAUGAGAUGCUUCAACUCCCGGCUUGUCAUGAUUCAACCAGACGCCCAGAUCUGCUUGUACUUUAAGAAUAUUACUUCAAAGCAGGAAUGGGCAACUUUGAGGAUAGGGAGGGCCAUAAAAAGUGUGUCCUCACUACCAGAGGGCCACUUUGCGCCCCCCCCUCACGGAGCUCCGACAGCACCCCCCCCCCCGCGGAGCUGGCGGCCCGCCAGUUGCCCAUCCCUGCUUCAAAGCAACAGAAACACAUUAUUAUUAGUCAUUAUUAGCACAGCCACAGGAAGUCCUUGUCAAGGAAAGAUAAACAUUGCAGGUAUACAUUUAAAAUACAAACUUCAUGAUUUGGUUAUGGUUUUAUUGAGUGGGCUCAAAGGGAGCCCGGAGACAAGGAUUUGAGUUUAAUGAGUGUCAAUGAUGUUGUUGAGAGAAUAAAAUAAAACAAUUUAGCACAGAAACAAUGAUGAAACAAUCAUUUUGAGCAAGUCAAAAGGCUCAAUGUGUUGACCGAUACUGAUCAUUUCAAUGACUUUGUAUUCAUCUUGCCAUGAAGGGACUUUCUUCAAUAAAAAAUCUGCAAAAAUAAAAAUAAGUGAUUUUAUAUUUCCACCAAAAG